ACUUAAAUAGUUUAAUUUAAAACAUUGAUUUGUGGUGUCAAAAAAAUAUUUUAUAAGUAUUUUAAGUU
rnacentral:tRNA from 1 species